UGGGGAAUUUUGGACAAUGGGGGGAACCCUGAUCCAGCCAUGCCGCGUGUGUGAAGAAGGCUUUAUGGUUGUAAAGCACUUUAAGCGAGGAGGAGGGUACUGGUAUUAAUACUACCAGCUACUGGACGUUACUCGCAGAAUAAGCACCGGCUAACUCUGUGCCAGCAGCCGCGGUAAUACAGAGGGUGCGAGCGUUAAUCGGAUUUACUGGGCGUAAAGCGUGCGUAGGCGGCUAAUUGAGUCGGAUGUGAAAUCCCCGAGCUUAACUUGGGAAUUGCAUUCGAUACUGGUUAGCUAGAGUGUGGGAGAGGAUGGUAGAAUUCCAGGUGUAGCGGUGAAAUGCGUAGAGAUCUGGAGGAAUACCGAUGGCGAAGGCAGCCAUCUGGCCUAACACUGACGCUGAGGUACGAAAGCAUGGGGGGCAAACAGG
rnacentral:rRNA from 1 species